CCUACGGGUGGCAGCAGUGAGGAAUAUUGGUCAAUGGCCGUAAGGCUGAACCAGCCAAGUCGCGUGAAGGAAGAAGGUUCUACGGUUUGUAAACUUCUUUUAUCGGGGAAUAAAGGUAUCCACGAGUGCCUAUUUGCAUGUACCUUAAGAAAAAGCAUCGGCUAACUCCGUGCCAGCAGCCGCGGUAAUACGGAGGAUGCGAGCGUUAUCCGGAUUUAUUGGGUUUAAAGGGUGCGUAGGUGGUGUUUUAAGUCAGCGGUGAAAGUCUGUGGCUCAACCCCAAACAUGCCGUUGAAACUGGAAGCCUUGAGUGUGUGUGAGGUAGGCGGAAUGCGUGGUGUAGCGGUGAAAUGCAUAGAUAUCACGCAGAACUCCGAUUGCGAAGGCAGCAUAC
rnacentral:rRNA from 1 species